CACGUAGGGUGCGAGCGUUGUCCGGAAUUAUUGGGCGUAAAGAGCUCGUAGGCGGUGUGUCGCGUCGGCCGUGAAAACCUGCAGCUUAACUGUGGGCGUGCGGUCGAUACGGGCAUCACUGGAGUUCGGCAGGGGAGACUGGAAUUCCUGGUGUAGCGGUGAAAUGCGCAGAUAUCAGGAGGAACACCGGUGGCGGAAGGCGGGUCUCUGGGCCGAUACUGACGCUGGAGA
rnacentral:rRNA from 1 species